GGGGGCGUUCCGGUUUCGACGUUGAUAAAGAAACCAAAGUUGCAGGCCGAGGAGCCGCUGGCCUCGUAAAAAGCGGCGCUUUAUAAUUGCCAACGACAAUUAUGAAUACGCUUACGCCGCUUAAUGCGGCUAAGCCCCAGAUCGCUUAGGCGGUCCGUCAUGCGGGACGAUGUCUGAUACUUCCGUAUGGCGACGACUAUCAGACUGGCGUAAAAAUGGCGUUAGCCAGGUUUUCUACGCGAGAUAUUACUGGCAAACUCGUCCGUCCUUGCCUGACCGAUUGCUGAAAGACGGAUUAAACUAAAAAUUCGGUAUAAGCCUGUAGACGCUUUGAGCGGACUAUUUGCGGACGGGGGUUCGACUCCCCCCGCCUCCACCA
rnacentral:tmRNA from 1 species